rnacentral:lncRNA from 1 species
ACUAAAUCAUUAAAUGUCAAUUGGUUUUGAGUUCAAAGUUCACGAAUCUUGAUCAAAUUCGGGAUGAGAUAUUGAGUUCUUCUUGCAAGAGUGGCAUUGCCGACCCAUAAUCAAUUUCCAACCUCUCGACGGUAAACUUUUUAUAUUUUUUUUUACAAAAAUGUAUAUAUCAUUCCACUUGUUUCUAUUUAACUUUGAGAUUAAAAACCCCCUUAAACGUGAUAUUUCAUUUUCUGAAUCUGUUACCGGAAUGUUUUACAUAGAGAACAGGUUGGGACAUAGAAUAGAGUACAAGAAAAUACUUAAAUCAUAGAUAUAUAAGAAGUUAGUGUUGAAAACACGUAGGGGUACACUGCCUUUACUAGUUACCAUUAGCACUUCCUCUUCUUACUCUCAAUCUCAUCCACCUUGAUUCUAGUUUAUAUAACUUUCUUGAAUUUGUAGACUAAUAGUACGUACGGAUCAAAUGACCUCACCUUUUAUAAACGUACAACAUAAUCAAACUGCUACAAGUGACAAGGCCACUACUAUAGGAGAACUCAUUGGAACCUCCUCAUCAUAUGGCUUGAAACACAAAGGCCAC